UAAAGAAUUUCGGUCAUCGAUGGGGAUGCGUUCCAUUAGCUUGUUGGCGGGGUAACGGCCCACCAAGGCAUCGAUGGAUAGGGGUUCUGAGAGGAAGGUCCCCCACAUUGGAACUGAGACACGGUCCAAACUCCUACGGGAGGCAGCAGUGAGGAAUAUUGGUCAAUGGGCGCUAGCCUGAACCAGCCAAGUAGCGUGAAGGAUGACUGCCCUAUGGGUUGUAAACUUCUUUUAUAUGGGAAUAAAGUACAGUAUGUAUACUGCUUUGCAUGUACCUUAUGAAUAAGGAUCGGCUAACUCCGUGCCAGCAGCCGCGGUAAUACGGAGGAUCCGAGCGUUAUCCGGAUUUAUUGGGUUUAAAGGGAGCGUAGGCGGGUUGUUAAGUCAGUUGUGAAAGUUUGCGGCUCAACCGUAAAAUUGCAGUUGAUACUGGCAUCCUUGAGUACAGUAGAGGUAGGCGGAAUUCGUGGUGUAGCGGUGAAAUGCUUAGAUAUCACGAAGAACUCCGAUUGCGAAGGCAGCCUGCUGGACUGUAACUGACGCUGAUGCUCGAAAGUGUGGGUAUCAAACAGGAUUAGAUACCCUGGUAGUCCACACAGUAAACGAUGAAUACUCGCUGUUUGCGAUAUACAGUAA
rnacentral:rRNA from 1 species